GAUGAACGCUGGCGGCGUGCCUAAUACAUGCAAGUCGAGCGAACAGACGAGGAGCUUGCUCCUCUGACGUUAGCGACGGACGGGUGAGUAACACGUGGAUAACCUACCUAUAAGACUGGGAUAACUUCGUGAAACCGGAGCUAAUACCGGAUAAUAUAUUGAACCGCAUGUUUCAAUAGUGAAAGACGGUUUUGCUGUCACUUAUAGAUGGAUCCGCGCCGCAUUAGCUAGUUGGUAAGGUAACGGCUUACCAAGGCAACGAUGCGUAGCCGACCUGAGAGGGUGAUCGGCCACACUGGAACUGAGACACGGUCCAGACUCCUACGGGAGGCAGCAGUAGGGAAUCUUCCGCAAUGGGCGAAAGCCUGACGGAGCAACGCCGCGUGAGUGAUGAAGGUCUUCGGAUCGUAAAACUCUGUUAUUAGGGAAGAACAAAUGUGUAAGUAACUAUGCACGUCUUGACGGUACCUAAUCAGAAAGCCACGGCUAACUACGUG
rnacentral:rRNA from 1 species